GAUGAACGCUGGCGGCGUGCCUAAUACAUGCAAGUCGAGCGAACAGAUGAGGAGCUUGCUCCUCUGACGUUAGCGGCGGACGGGUGAGUAACACGUGGAUAACCUACCUAUAAGACUGGAUAACUUCGGGAAACCGGAGCUAAUACCGGAUAAUAUAUUGAACCGCAUGGUUCAAUAGUGAAAGACGGUUUUGCUGUCACUUAUAGAUGGAUCCGCGCCGCAUUAGCUAGUUGGUAAGGUAACGGCUUACCAAGGCAACGAUGCGUAGCCGACCUGAGAGGGUGAUCGGCCACACUGGAACUGAGACACGGUCCAGACUCCUACGGGAGGCAGCAGUAGGGAAUCUUCCGCAAUGGGCGAAAGCCUGACGGAGCAACGCCGCGUGAGUGAUGAAGGUCUUCGGAUCGUAAAACUCUGUUAUUAGGGAAGAACAAAUGUGUAAGAAACUAUGCACGUCUUGACGGUACCUAAUCAGAAAGCCACGGCUAACUACGUG
rnacentral:rRNA from 1 species